UACGUAGGUGGCAAGCGUUGUCCGGAUUUAUUGGGCGUAAAGGGAGUGUAGGCGGUCUUUUAAGUCUGAUGUGAAAGCCCACGGCUCAACCGUGGAGGGUCAUUGGAAACUGUUAAACUUGAGUGCAGGAGAGAAAAGUGGAAUUCCUAGUGUAGCGGUGAAAUGCGUAGAGAUUAGGAGGAACACCAGUGGCGAAGGCGGCUUUUUGGCCUGUAACUGACACUGAGGCGCGAAAGCGUGGGGAGCAAACAGG
rnacentral:rRNA from 1 species